UACGUAGGGUGCAAGCGUUAAUCGGAAUUACUGGGCGUAAAGCGUGCGCAGGCGGUUUUGUAAGUCAGAUGUGAAAUCCCCGGGCUUAACCUGGGAACUGCGUUUGAAACUACAAGGCUAGAGUGUGGCAGAGGGGGGUGGAAUUCCACGUGUAGCAGUGAAAUGCGUAGAGAUGUGGAGGAACACCGAUGGCGAAGGCAGCCCCCUGGGUUAACACUGACGCUCAGACACGAAAGCGUGGGGAGCAAACAGG
rnacentral:rRNA from 1 species